UAGUGGCAGACGGGUGAGUAACGCGUGGGAACCUGCCCAGUAGUAGAGGACAACUUGGGGAAACUUAAGCUAAUACUUUAUACGUCCUUCGGGAGAAAGCUUUAUGCGCUAUUGGAUGGGCCCGCGUUAGAUUAGUUUGUUGGUGAGGUAAUGGCUCACCAAGACUACGAUCUAUAGCUGGUCUGAGAGGAUGAUCAGCCACACUGGGACUGAGACACGGCCCAGACUCCUACGGGAGGCAGCAGUGGGGAAUAUUGGACAAUGGGGGCAACCCUGAUCCAGCGAUGCCGCGUGAGUGAUGAAGGCCCUAGGGUUGUAAAACUCUUUCGUCAGGGAAGAUAAUGACGGUACCUGAAGAAGAAGAUCCGGCUAACUCCGUGCCAGCAGCCGCGGUAAUACGGAGGGAUCUAGCGUUAUUCGGAAUUACUGGGCGUAAAGCGAGCGUAGGCGGAUUUGUAAGUUGGAGGUGAAAUCCCAGAGCUUAACUCUGGAACUGCCUUCAAAACUACAUUUCUUGAGUUUGGUAGAGGAGAGUGGAAUUCCUAGUGUAGAGGUGAAAUUCGUAGAUAUUAGGAGGAACACCAGUGGCGAAGGCGACUCUCUGGGCCAAUACUGACGCUGAGGUUCGAAAGCAUGGGUAGCGAACAGGAUUAGAUACCCUGGUAGUCCAUGCAGUAAACGAUGAGUGCUAGAUGUUGGGAAUUUAAAUUUCCAGUAUCGCAGUUAACGCGUUAAGCACUCCGCCU
rnacentral:rRNA from 1 species